UCCGCAGGGGGCCAGCUAAGUUUGAUGUGAAAUCCCGGGGCUCAACCCCGGAACUGCAUUGAAAACUGGUUGGCUAGAGUACCGGAGAUGAAAGUGGAAUUCCAGGUGUAGCGGUGGAAUGCGUAGAUAUCUGGAAGAACACCAAAAGCGAAGGCAGCUUUCUGGACGGUUACUGACCCUCAGGGACGAAAGCGUGGGGAGCAAACAGGAUUAGAUACCCUGGUAGUCC
rnacentral:rRNA from 1 species